AUUGAACGCUGGCGGCGUGCCUAACACAUGCAAGUCGAGCGGAUGAACGGAGCUUGCUCCUGGCUUCAGCUGCGGACGGGUGGGUGAUUCCCACGAAUCUGCCUGAUAUAGGGGACUAACAUCCGUUAACGGGCGCUAAUACCGCAUCCGACCUUAGAGUGAACCUGGGGGAUCUUCGGACCUAACGCUAUCAGAUGACCCUAGGUCGGAUUAGCUAGUUGGUAGGGUAAAGUCCUACCAAGGCGACGUUCCGUAACUGGUCUGAGAGGAUGAUAGUCACACUGGAACUGAGACACGGUCCAGACUCCUACGGGAGGCAGCAGUAGGGAAUAUUGCACAAUGGGCGAAAGCCUGAUGCAGCAAUGCCGCGUGUGUGAAGAAGGUCUUCGGAUCGUAAAGCACUUUAAGUAGGGAGGAAGGACAGUAAGUUAAAACCUUGCUGUCUUGACGUUACCAACAGAAUAAGCAACGGCUAACUACGUG
rnacentral:rRNA from 1 species